UUAUUAAAUUUUUUUAUUAUUUAUUUUAAUUUAUUAAAAAUAUUUAUAAAAAUAAUUUGUUUUAGUAUAGUUUAUAGAAAAAAUAAUUUUAAUGAUAGUUUAUUAGUAUUGUAAAAGAAAAUUGAAAUAUUUUGAAAAAAUAAUAUUUUUUAAGAAAAUAUAAUUUAUUGUACCUUGUGUAUCAGGGUUUAUUAAAUAAAAAAUAUAUAAUAUAUUUUUUUCGAUUUUAAAAGAGUUAAUAAAUUAUUUUAUAUAAUGUAAUAAAAUUAUUAAUAAUAAUUUAUUAGAAAUGAAAUGUUAUUCGUUUUUAAAGGUAUCUAGUUUUUUAAGAAAUGAAUUUAAUUCAGUUUUUAUAAAUAAAUUAUAUUAUUUAAAAUUAAUAUAAUUAUUUUAUAAAAAUAAUAUUUUAUGGGAUAAGCUAUAAAAUAAAAUUUUAUAAAUAAAUAAAUUUAUUUAAUAAAUAUAUGCUUAUAAUUAGCAAUUAUUAUUAAAUAUGUUAUAAUAUAUUUUAUAUAUAUAAUUAUUUAUUAUAUUUUUAAAUUUUUAUUAAAAUAUUUAUUUUAAUUUAAAUAAUAAAGUAAUAAUGAUAAAAUGAGUAUAUUUUUUUUUUAUAUAUUUAUAAAUUAUUGAAAGGUUUUUAUAAAGAAUUCGGCAAAUUUAAUAUUCGCCUGUUUAACAAAAACAUGUCCUUUAGUAUUAAAUUUAAGGUUUAACCUGCCCAAUGAUAUUAUAGUUUAAUGGCCGCAGUAUUCUAACUGUGCAAAGGUAGCAUAAUCAUUAGUCUUUUAAUUGAAGGCUUGUAUGAAUGGUUGGACGAAAUAUUAACUGUUUCAUAAAAAUUUUUAAUAGAAAUUUAUUUUUUAGUUAAAAAGCUAAAAUAUUAUUAAAAGACGAGAAGACCCUAUAGAUCUUUAUAUUUUAUAUUGUUUUAUUUAUUUAGAAAUUUUUUAAUAUUAUAAUAUAAAUUAUUUUGUUGGGGUGAUAGUAAAAUUUAAUUAACUUUUAUAAAUUUAUAUAACAUUAAUAUAUGAUUAAUUGAUCCACUAAUAGUGAUUAUUAAAUUAAGUUACCUUAGGGAUAACAGCGUAAUUUUUUUAGAGAGUUCUUAUCGAUAAAAAAGAUUGCGACCUCGAUGUUGGAUUAAGAUAUAAUUUGGGUGUAGAAGUUCAAAUAUUUAGGUCUGUUCGACCUUUAAAAUCUUACAUGAUCUGAGUUCAAACCGGCGUAAGCCAGGUUGGUUUCUAUCUUUAAUUAAUUAAAAUAUUUUAGUACGAAAGGACCAAAUAUUUAAAAUAUAAAUUUUUUAAAAAUUGAAUAUUAUUAAUUAU
rnacentral:rRNA from 1 species